AACUUGAUACAACACAAUAUACGAGCAAACAAAACUGAAAUUUUUGACAUGAAGUUAUACAUGUAUCAACUCUAAAUGUUUGAAACUAUUCGUAAUCUAAAUUCAGUCUAAAACUUAAAAUUAAAUCAGUACCCAUCAAUCAUUUUCGACACCGAAAAGUAAAGUCAGCACCAGCAUUCCUGUAGUACAAGUUAGCCUGUAGCUGUUUGCUGUGAGUGCUCUUUGAUUCUAGCUGAUGAAGCUUCAGUGAUCCACUGCACUCUUUAUUAGCCAUUCUUAAGCAGUCACCUCAAAACAAUCAAAAUAAUUAUCAGAUUUCAAAUUAAGGUAGGUAAGCGUGAUGAAAAAGGCUGGAAAAAUGAAGUCCUCAUAGAUAUUGUCCAGCAAAUUAUGUCCAAAAAGUUCUCUUUCAAUGGUUAAGGAAUUUGUCUCGUAUUCACAUUAAAAGAUAUAUAGCUAAGGUAUUUGUCUCAUAUUCACAUUAAAAUACAUAGCUAGGUAGCAACAUGUGGACAAUUCAUAUUCAUGGGUGUCAAGUCUUUUAAAGAUCCAGGAAGCUCAUAUUAUGAGUCAUAAAACUGCAAAAAGAUAUUAUAGCACCAACACAAAACUAGAUAUGCAAGAGAAUUUUUUAGAAUUCAUUAAUUCUCAUUAAUAUUUUUCAGAUAGAUUAAUUCAACAAUAUGCAGUUGACAAAAAUAUAUAACCAUAAUUCAUUCAGUGACACAUUUGCACAAUUUAAAAUUUACUGCAGAACAGAGGCAAAUUGAAUUAAAAGAAUAUUUAAAAAGGUCACAUGGAAUGAGAAUGAAAGCCAAAAUUAUAACGGUUUACUGUCAAGUUCCCCCAUCCUCUUAAGACCAGUAUGAGCACGAUCUGAUGUUUCUUUCAAGGCCUAUGAAAUUGGUAGAUAAACUAGUACACAUAGGUUAAGAACUGCAGAGAAGAACUAAAAGAAGCAAAGGUAAGCCUUUAACAGGAGUACAAAAAUCAUAUAAAAAUUAUGAAAAAUUGGACUUCAUCAUUCUACAUUGAAAGAGAUUACGUAAAUAGUUUGCAUAUCCUUCUCACUUAAUCACAAUUUAAAAUUUGUUUUCCAAUUUUCUCAUUCACUCAUGAGUUUCUGAGUCACCUACAGAUUUUUGGCAUCAACAACAGAUAAUUAUCUGAUAGCACAGAAAAUAGAUACUGCAUGCCAAUCCAUUCAAAAUCCUUUCUUCAGUUCUAACACUUUGAAAGCACAGUUCAGGUAAGCAAAAUAAGUCCUGAAAAACAGAAAAGAGGCGAAGACCAAAGUACAAAUUCUCACAAUUCAUGAUCUUGUAAACCAUCUAAAUGGAAAUCAUCCCAUUAACUACCGCAGUAGGUUUCUAGACUAAUGGAAGAAGAAAUGCUUACAUUAAUCAAUUCUUUACGACCAUCUUGUAGCUCACCGUAACUUUUAUGUUUUUUAUGAUUAAAGUGUGGUUCAAUGCUUCUACAUCUUCAAUCUCUCCUGGUUCAAUCCUUCUACAUCUUCAAUCUCUCCUGGUUCAAUCCUUCUACAUCUUCAAUCUCUCCUUCCUUUCCUCUCAAAUCUUUAAGCACUUUUUCCAUCUUUUGCCGGACCUCUGUAUCACCACCAUUGCACAUGUGCUUCAUCACAUUUAACGUCCCUCUCAAUCGCUCAAUUUCCUUGUUUUGCAUCCAGCUGAAGUAUUUUGUUAUGAAGCUUCUCCUUCUGCAUCUGUAUGAGAUUAAAAGUAGGAACGGUGGUCAUCUAUUGCCUCUGGUUUCGAAGGAAUUGAUAUGGAUGCAUUGUGGUUAUGACCAAAGCAUUAAAAAAAACAAACUUUGUCAUUAGCCUUCUGUUGUUCCAGCGCAGCCAAUUGAAGUGAACUGUUUCUCCUUGCAUUCUAAAAGAGGAGUAAAGUUUAUUUUGCAACCACACCUUUGAUCAGAGUCAACAAUGUGAGAGUGACAUAAGUAAGCUCAUAAGAAACCGUUACCAAAUUCCUUCUCACAGGAGAAACGGAGUGACAGG
rnacentral:lncRNA from 1 species